rnacentral:rRNA from 1 species
AUUGAACGCUGGCGGCAUGCUUUACACAUGCAAGUCGAACGGUAACAGGCCGCAAGGUGCUGACGGGUGGCGCACGGGUGAGUAAUGCAUCGGAACGUGCCCAGUCGUGGGGGAUAACUACUCGAAAGAGUAGCUAAUACCGCAUACGAUCUAUGGAUGAAAGCGGGGGACCGUAAGGCCUCGCGCGAUUGGAGCGGCCGAUGUCAGAUUAGGUAGUUGGUGGGGUAAAGGCUCACCAAGCCAACGAUCUGUAGCUGGUCUGAGAGGACGACCAGCCACACUGGGACUGAGACACGGCCCAGACUCCUACGGGAGGCAGCAGUGGGGAAUUUUGGACAAUGGGCGCAAGCCUGAUCCAGCAAUGCCGCGUGCAGGAAGAAGGCCUUCGGGUUGUAAACUGCUUUUGUACGGAACGAAACGGCUCUGGUUAAUACCCGGGGCUAAUGACGGUACCGUAAGAAUAAGCACCGGCUAACUACGUG